GAUGAACGCUGGCGGCGUGCCUAAUACAUGCAAGUCGAGCGAACAGACGAGGAGCUUGCUCCUCUGACGUUAGCGGCGGACGGGUGAGUAACACGUGGAUAACCUACCUAUAAGACUGGGAUAACUUCGGGAAACCGGAGCUAAUACCGGAUAAUAUAUUGAACCGCAUGGUUCAAUAGUGAAAGACGGUUUUGCUGUCACUUAUAGAUGGAUCCGCGCCGCAUUAGCUAGUUGGUAAGGUAACGGCUUACCAAGGCAACGAUGCGUAGCCGACCUGAGAGGGUGAUCGGCCACACUGGAACUGAGACACGGUCUAGACUCCUACGGGAGGCAGCAGUAGGGAAUCUUCCGCAAUGGCGAAAGCUUGACGGAGCAACGCCGCGUGAGUGAUGAAGGUCUUCGGAUCGUAAAACUCUGUUAUUAGGGAAGAACAAAUGUGUAAGUAACUAUGCACGUCUUGACGGUACCUAAUCAGAAAGCCACGGCUAACUACGUG
rnacentral:rRNA from 1 species